GACGAACGCUGGCGGCGUGCCUAACACAUGCAAGUCGAACGAAGUGGCGAACGGGUGAGUAACGCGUAAUCAACCUGCCCUUCAGAGGGGGACAACAGUUGGCAACGACUGCUAAUACCGCAUACUGAAGGAGGGGAUUGCGUCGGAUUAGCUAGUGGGGGGGGUAACCGCCCCACAAGGCGAUGAUCAGUAGCCGGGCUUGGAGGAUGAACGGCCACAUUGGGACUGAGACCCGGCCCAGACUCCUACGGGAGGCAGCAGUUGGGAAUCUUCCGCAAUGGACGGAAGUCUGACGGAGCAACGCCGCGUGAGUGAUGACGGCCUUCGGGUUGUAAAGCUCUGUUAAUCGGGGCGCGGUACCGGAAUAGAAAGCCACGGCUAACUACGUGCCAGCAGCCGCGGUAAUUC
rnacentral:rRNA from 1 species